AUUGUCCAGGGCACCUCCCAGCCCGGCCUGGGGGAGAUGGCUAAUGCAGCCUGAGAAUGGAUUUGGUGCCUCAAGCCAGAUUACCUCUCCCUGCCUUGCCAUCCCUUUGAAAACUGCCUCUUGAGCCAGGCUCUUCCCUCACACAGAACUUCGAGGAAUCAAUACUCGCCAGAAAGACGUUUACCACCCUCCUGAUGCCAGGAAGAGCCUUUCUACUGUUCAAAUCCAUUCCCAGAAAGCACAGGGACUGCCUGGGCAAGGCCUGGGUGGGGCCAGGGAGACACGGCCCUGCGCUUAUCAUCAUCACCUGCAUCCUGUGUGACCUUGAGCCUAUGGGGUGACCAGCACCGGCCCAUGGCCUCCCAUGGUUGUAAGGAAGGGAGUGAAAGCCCUUGGAGAUGACAACAGCAGGAUCUCGAGCGGGAUCUGCUGCCAGCCUGAGGAGAGUGGUGUAAGCCGUGCACAACCAAAGGGGCAGUCUGAAGGCGCAGACAACGGAAAGGGUUGGGGGUGGAAAUAGAGGCUGGGAAUCUCUCCAUCCCCACCCUACUCCCUCUGCUCCAGCCACAGCAGCCAACCCUGCCUCAGGGCCUUUGCACUUGCAGCUCUCUCUUUAUAUGAUAUUUUUCUCCCAGAUCUCCUCAGGAUUGGUUCUUUCUUAUUACUCAGGUCUCAGUUCAGUUUCUCCUUCAAGAGGCCUUCCCUGACCAGCCAGUCUAGUCAAUCCC
rnacentral:lncRNA from 1 species